GGGACACCCGUCCGAAAGGAUGGCUAAUACCGCAUAAGACCUGAGGGUGAAAGCCGGGGACCGCAAGGCCCGGCGCAGACGGAGCGGCCGAUGAUUGAUUAGCUAGUUGGGGAGGUAAAGGCUCACCAAGGCGACGAUCAAUAGCUGGUCUGAGAGGACGACCAGCCACACUGGAACUGAGACACGGUCCAGACUCCUACGGGAGGCAGCAGUGGGGAAUUUUGGACAAUGGGGGCAACCCUGAUCCAGCCAUGCCGCGUGCGGGAAGAAGGCCUUCGGGUUGUAAACCGCUUUUGUCAGGGACGAAAAGCUCCGGAGUAAUAUGCCGGAGUGCUGACGGUACCUGAAGAAUAAGCACCGGCUAACUACGUGCCAGCAGCCGCGGUAAUACGUAGGGUGCAAGCGUUAAUCGGAAUUACUGGGCGUAAAGCGUGCGCAGGCGGUUGGGUAAGACAGAUGUGAAAUCCCCGGGCUUAACCUGGGAACUGCAUUUGUGACUGUCCGACUGGAGUACGUCAGAGGGGGGUGGAAUUCCACGUGUAGCAGUGAAAUGCGUAGAUAUGUGGAAGAACACCGAUGGCGAAGGCAGCCCCCUGGGGCGCAACUGACGCUCAUGCACGAAAGCGUGGGGAGCAAACAGGAUUAGAUACCCUGGUAGUCCACGCCCUAA
rnacentral:rRNA from 1 species